GACGAACGCUGGCGGCGUGCUUAACACAUGCAAGUCGAACGGAAAGGCCCUGCUUUUGUGGGGUGCUCGAUUGGCGAACGGGUGAGUAACACGUGAGUAACCUGCCCUUGACUUUGGGAUAACUUCAGGAAACUGGGGCUAAUACCGGAUAGGAGCUCCUGCUGCAUGGUGGGGGUUGGAAAGUUUCGGCGGUUGGGGAUGGACUCGCGGCUUAUCAGCUUGUUGGUGGGGUAGUGGCUUACCAAGGCUUUGACGGGUAGCCGGCCUGAGAGGGUGACCGGCCACAUUGGGACUGCGGUACGGCCCAGACUCCUACGGGAGGCAGCAGUGGGGAAUAUUGCACAAUGGGCGGAAGCCUGAUGCAGCAACGCCGCGUGCGGGAUGACGGCCUUCGGGUUGUAAACCGCUUUCGCCUGUGACGAAGCGUGAGUGACGGUAAUGGGUAAAGAAGCACCGGCUAACUACGUG
rnacentral:rRNA from 1 species